UACGUAGGGUGCAAGCGUUAAUCGGAAUUACUGGGCGUAAAGCGCGUGUAGGCGGCUAAGUAAGUCGGGCGUGAAAUCCCACGGCUCAACCGUGGAAGUGCACUCGAAACUGCAUAGCUAGAGUCCUGGAGAGGAAGGUGGAAUGCUUGGUGUAGAGGUGAAAUUCGUAGAUAUCAAGCGGAACACCGGUGGCGAAGGCGGCCUUCUGGACAGUGACUGACGCUGAGACGCGAAAAGCGUGGGGAGCAACAGGG
rnacentral:rRNA from 1 species